AUCGUUGUUGGAUAUUUGGGUUGGUUCCAAGUCUUUGCUAUUGUGAAUAGUGCCGCAAUAAACAUAGGUGUCUGCAGCCUGAUUUCUAAUUGUUCCCAGCCCAUACAUACCAAAAUGCCAUGUUUGUCUAUAGAUAUUUUCUUUAUACUUGCCUCAGCAAACUGGCUGCAAAUAAUUGGCUCUAAGGAUUCCAAGAUAAUAAGUCAAUACAGAAGCUAACGGUAGUAACUUUAAAUAAAAGGAAAAAUAACCAUCCAGAGAGCUAUCUGUAAGCAACUAAAGAUAAAAGCAGCCAGAAUAGGAAUGACCAUGUAAAUUUUGCCAAAGGCAAGAAGUGAAGCGCAUGCAAGACAGUGGACAGCAGGAGACCAAAAGGCUAAAGUGCACAGAAUUUAGUGAAGUGUCCCAAAGUCCUGAAACAGCCUCUGCAUUCACUGAUAAGCCAUAAGCUAUAUAAAAAAAAAAUUCUGGCCUUUUUGCUGGCAAAACUGGUGUUCCAACAUACACACAGGUGGAAGGAGGGGAGAAUGGAUGUGAACAUACAAGAAAUAUUCAAAAGAACAUACAAGCAGUUGCCGGCAUUCCAGAUACAGCCACAGCCUUCUCAGCAGAUGGGAGGGAAUCUACCUGCAGUGGAAGGGAGUCAGUGAAGGGGGCUUAGCAGGCGUGCCCCUUUCUAUGGGGAUGUUUAACCACCAGCCAGGAACACAGCAGAAACAGCAACCACCGCGGGGUGAUCAGCACGUUUUUAAGCACACAUAGUGAGCGGGGGUGGGGUGGCAAACUUCAAUGCACAGGACUCAGGCCACAAGCUAAAAAUGGAUGUUCAUGACGAUGACCCUGAAUAGUAGAGUUAAUGGCAUCAAAGAUAAUUAAAAUAAUACAGGUUACAAAGCCCAAACCUAACAUACAAACACAGUUAUGUAACUCGAAAAUGGUACAAUGAACUCUAGGUUCAAACUUUGGACUAUUAGUAACUGAUUCAAUAAGAUCAGCCUACAGUAAGUUUUAUAUUAAAAUGAUUUUCUGUAAAGGGAAAAACUGCAUCUUAUAUGGCAAAUUCCAAGUAGAAAACGAAAGAAAAAUUUUAAAUGUCCACAGAAAGCCGAAAUGUACAAGUUUCCACAAAAUGUGGAACAAAUUUAUUUUUAAAUAAAGCGUGAGUUUUAAAAACAAAUAGCAAAAACACGACCAUUUAAGAAAAUACGUAAAGUCGGGAAAAUCACUCAUAAUUCUACCACUUCAAGGCCACCACCCUGUUUCGGUUUUGUUCCCUAUACACAGAUUCGUGCGGGGUUCCCGGGUGGAGCGUGCUUCUUAGCCGUUACUGUGUACCCGGCCAUUUCACUUUAUAGCAUACGUGUUCUCCAAAAAGCAAAGAGUGUUAAGUCCACACGAGGGAUAACGGCUUGCGUUUACCUCGCUUUUAGCAAGCGACGCUUUGCACCCCAGAAGCAGCCCGGCUGGGAAGUGCAGGCCCGGGUGCUCGGGGAACCACCGUGCCCAGCUGAGCGGCUCACCAGCCCGGAGUCGGGCCCUAGGAGGAUGGGAGCGUGCGCGGACGCAGGCGGAGACCUUGGGGACUGCGGACGGAGACCCAUAGCCCUGACCUCCCGACGCGCCCAUCCUGACCACUCUGGGCCCAGCGGUGCAGGAGGGCGCGCGUGUGAGGUGGUCCCUUUUUAGCACUACCUCACCGGAAAACCAGCAAAGCAAAAUCCUGUUGCCACCUAGACAAUAGGGAAGGAGGGUCUUCCAAGGGCGGCGACCUUCGCCUGGACAGCGGUAUCCUGCGGGCGACCUUGGGCCGGGCGGCCGGGGCUCCAAGCUUACCUCGGACACCACGGCUACGCCACUCUCCAGGACAAGCUAUGCAAGAAGCAUGGCACCAGCAUCGGCUUCUGGUGAGCAGCUCAGGCUGCUUCCAUUCCUGGUGGAAGGGAAAGGGGAGCUGACUUGUGCAGAGAUCAUUUCCAAGAGGGAAAUCAAGAGAGAGAGGUGGGAGGUGCCAGGCUCUUUUUAACGUCCAGUUAUCUUGGGAGCUAAUAGAGUAAGAACUCACUGAUACCUACUACCCCCAUCCUCCAUUUCUUCAUGAAGAGUCUGCCCCCAUGAUCCAUACACCUCCCAUUAGGACCCCCCUUUAACACUGAGGAUCACAUUUCAACAUGAGAUUUGGAGGGGCCAAACAAACCGUAUCCAAACUAUAGAAGUGGCAAAUUGGCAAUAUCUACUUAUUCAUUCAAAAGAAAUAGGGUAAAAACAUGAGAUGAUCCAUGGAUGUUUCAGCUUUUCUGUCACUGACCCUGCAUACUGAAAAGCAAUAAAUUCCUUCCUAACUUAAAUAAAGUAAUGGCAGAUAUGCCUAAGGCCACAAGUC